GCAGGCUCACUCUGUUCUUUGCUGCUCACUCCAGCCUGGGACUUUUUCUGCCUGCUACAUGAACAUGCAGAACGGAACACGUGACUGGCUUGUUAAUAAGCUAGUGCCACCAUGUUUUGCCACAUUACU
rnacentral:snoRNA from 1 species